GUCGAGGGCCAUACCACCCUGAACGCACCCGAUCUCAUCUGAUCUCAGAAGCUAAGCAAGGUCAGGCCUGAUUCGUACUUAGAUGGGAGACAUUUGAUGAAAAUGGACAAACCCCCUCCUGGGAGCUGUGGGGGGCUGGGGCU
rnacentral:rRNA from 1 species